rnacentral:lncRNA from 1 species
UAUGAGUAAAAACUUACUAAGAAAUCCUUGAUUGUCAUUGCAAUUACAUAAAAACUGCCUUUUCUUUUAAUUGCAAAAUAAAUUUGAUCAUAUGAUGAUAUACACUCAUAAUUUUCUCUCUCUCUUUUUUUGAGCUAGAAGUUGAACUCACAAUGUCAUACAUGAAGCACACACUCUACCACUGAGCAAGACCCCCAACUCCUGCUCUUUAUUUUUUUGAGAUGGAAUCUCACCAUGUUGCCCAGGCUGGUCUCAAGCCUCUGGGCACAAGCCAUCCUCUUGCCUCAGCCUCAUGGGUAGCUGGUACUACAGGUGCAUGUCACCACACCCUGUACACUCAGAAUACUCUAUUAAAUACUACAUAAAUCUGUUCUUUAACACUAACAAAAUAGACAAAUAUUCAUGAAGGGAAUGCAAACAUGGUAGCUACUGACAUCAUUAGUAUUAUUUCAUCAGUGAUUCAGAAACUAUUAAAUAAGCAAACUAUUGAAACCACACAAACCAAGAACAGCUUCCUUUCAGAUCCAUGUCCUUCAGAAAUGCAAUUAGGAGUCAUAUUUACACACAGUAUCUAAUUUUUUUAAUCUCAAGAAUGUAGAAUAUGAUAACACAAUUACCAUCUUUAAGAAAAAUUUAAAUCAAAUGGACGUAAGAACUGAAAAGCAUAACUUGAAAAACUUGACUUCAUGUGCUAUGAUCUUAAAACAUAGUCAUUUUUCAUUUUUCAUGGGAGUUAUAUUCUUUUUUUUAUAUUGAUUAGUUGUAGUUGGACACAUU